rnacentral:lncRNA from 1 species
UGAGAUCAUGCCACUGCAUUCUACCCCGGCGACAAAGCAAGACUCCAUCUCAAAAAAAAAAAAAAAAAAAAAGAAGAAGAAAAAAAAAUGAUGAGUACAUGUCAAAAGGACACAAGAGCCAGCCUGAAGGACCUCCACUGGCCAAACGUCGAACAAUGCACAUCAAAAUAAAGGAAGACAGUGAUGGAUCAUAACAUGUUGAAUAAAAUAGGACUCCAUGAGUCCAUAUUAUAACUAGAUAGGGAAAUAAAUAAUGGCAAAGAAAGAAUGCCAAAUGAUAAAUGUGGGGUGGUAGAGUUGAGGGAGGAUACUGCAACCCGUAGAGGUGCUAUGAUUUUGUAAUCAUUAUAGUCAAGUUCGAUUCAGGCAAGAAUCAUCAGUGGAUGCUACAUCCAGGGGUGUGGGAUUCAAUGAUCAGCAGGCUAUUUGUACUGGCUAGAAAGAUCUCCCUACAGAUUGCUUAUUAGUUGCAAGGGUAGAGAGUAACUACACAGCAGAGAAGCUGGACAACAUCUUGACUACAUAGUCAAAACUAACCUUAACAAAGAGGAGCAGUCAGAUAUCAUGUGCCUCUAGCUGUGAUUCCUGAAAAGGAGACUUCACGGUGUAUUUAAGUUAAGAAUAUAUAACUGAAUCUAAUGUUAGGCUUCCGAAUGAUAAGAAAAACCCAAAUUGAGGAAUAUUCUAUAAAGUAACUAGUUUGUAUUCUUCAGAACUGUUAAUGUCAAUUAAGACAAAGGCUGAAAAAGCUCCAGAUUAAAGAUCAAAGAGACAUGAAAUUAAAUGCAAUUCAAGAUUCUAAACAGGAGGAACAUAAAGUACAUUAUUGGGACAAGUAAUAAAACUGAAACAUGCACUGUAGAUUUCAGUAUUUUGCCAAUGUUAAAUUUCUAAGUGGUUACAUAAGAAUAUCCUUUUUUGAUGGGAAAUAUACACUGAAGUAUUAAGAGAUCAAGAAGCAUAACAUAUAUAGCCUACACUCAAAUGGUUCAGAAAAAAACUUAUAUAUGUAAAUAAAUCUGUAUGUGUGUUUGUCAAUCUAGGAAAAAGCUAUAGAGGAGUUUUCUGUAAAACUCUUACAAUUUUUCUAUUAAGUGUGAAAUGAUUUCCAAAGCCAAUGACGAUAGAAAUACCGAACCCAAAUUCAUUUGGUUUUGCAUAGGUUGUGUCUAACAGGAAGAGAAGCCAAUCACAGUAUUUGGACUAAAAUAUGGGACUAUAGUCAAGGUUGUAGUUUUUUCUGAGACGGAGUCUCGCUCUGUCGCCCAGGCUGGAGUGCAGUGGCGCCAUCUCGGCUCACUGCAAGCUCCGACUCCCAGGUUCACG